GGAGCAGUAACUCAGUGGUAGAGUGCACGAUUGCAAAUUUGACUGACGAUAUCGUGAUGUCCCGUGUUCGAACCACGGUUGCUCCU